UCCAAAAUCAGCUGCCUACGCAGAGGACAAACUUUACCAAACCUUAUCCUGACUCUUUCUACAUACCCAGAACUGUAUACUUUAAAGCCAAAGGGAAACUAUCUGAACUGCAUCACCAACUCCAAUGUUUUCAGGAACAAAGUAGGUAACAUAAAAAGCAGGCUUGUGGAAGAUAAAUCCAGUGGGUCUAUUAAUGAAGACCAAUCCAGUCUCAGUGUGGAGGAUGCAACAAGAAGAAAAGAGCUACUCAGAGAACUUGAGAAAACAGAAUUUACUGUCAAGAGUUCUCAGACCUUUCAAAAGGUCUCAGACCCUAAGCACCAUGUUCUCUAAUGAAUAAGAUUGUACAACCAAUGUUAAUCAGCUUCUCAGAAGAGAUUGGCAUUUUCCG
rnacentral:lncRNA from 10 species